UACGAAGGGGGCUAGCGUUGCUCGGAAUCACUGGGCGUAAAGGGUGCGUAGGCGGGUUUUUAAGUCAGGGGUGAAAUCCUGGAGCUCAACUCCAGAACUGCCUUUGAUACUGAAGAUCUUGAGUCCGGGAGAGGUGAGUGGAACUGCGAGUGUAGAGGUGAAAUUCGUAGAUAUUCGCAAGAACACCAGUGGCGAAGGCGGCUCACUGGCCCGGUACUGACGCUGAGGCACGAAAGCGUGGGGAGCAAACAGGGAGUUAGAA
rnacentral:rRNA from 1 species